UACAGAGGGUGCAAGCGUUGUUCGGAAUUAUUGGUCGUAAAGGGCGUGUAGGCGGGAUGGUGUGUCGGAUGUGAAAGCCCUCGGCUCAACCGAGGAAUUGCAUUCGAAACUGCCAUUCUUGAGUACGGGAGAGGAAAGUGGAAUUCCCAGUGUAGAGGUGAAAUUCGUAGAUAUUGGGAGGAACACCGGUGGCGAAGGCGACUUUCUGGACCGAUACUGACGCUGAAACGCGAAAGCGUGGGUAGCAAACAGG
rnacentral:rRNA from 1 species